UAUAGAUUGAUUAGAUUGAGUGUCAGAACUCAACAAAGACCAUCUAAUGAUGGAGCUUGCUUCAGGAAAGGCCUUCAACAAGGAGUUGUAGUGCUCUCAGGCUGUCCUAGGCUCUACUGAACCUCUCAAAAUAUGACAGCAGGGGAAGUUUAUUUUGAUGAGCACCUGUUCUUAGUUGGCUGAUUUUGGCAAGGAUUCCUGCAUUUCCAUGAUACAAUCCCACUGGCUUCAAAUGAAAAUACAGCCUUGAAACUGGAAUUGAAGAAUGAGUACGAUGCUGUGCUUGAACAAGAAUAUGCUCUGUUGCAGGCACAGAAGGAAGCACUCAAUAGGAAUCACCACUUUAAGCACAAUGACCCUGUUAAGCUUCACUGUCCUGGGCACUGAUGUGUGCUGAAGAAAAAAGGGGCAUCUUGAUGCCAGAUCCUCUGCUCAAAAGGGGAUUUGUGGAACUGUGCAGAGUUGGGGAACACUCCAUCCACCUUGAAUAAUAUGGUACAGUGAGGUCAGACUGUUGUUAUGUGGCACAAUACAGCCUUGAAGAAGGAUAUAGUGCGGACAUGAAUGAUUCUCAGCUCCCCACCGACCCCGCUUUUGCUUCAGAGAUGUAUUCAGUAUUCAAGGCUGGCACUCAGUUCAUUGGAAGCACUCUGUCUCCAAAACCCAGAAGGCUGAAAAUAUUUAGGAAAGAAUCAAGGAAAUGUCAAUAACUAAAGCAGUCACCUUUCCAGCCAAUCCUAUCACCUUCUCACACAUUAUAACAUACCCAUGAUACUUUUAGUUUAGGAGGAACAUUCUGGAUUGAUAAAUAGAAAUCAGAAAUAUGUGGGAAGUACUACUCUCAGGAAUGUGUUGCUGGUGGAAGGUCUGCAUUUCCAAAAAUGCAUCACUCCUUGAAGGCUACAGUGUGUAGAAGAACUUGGGCACCUUUAUUUUUGAAAUAUGCAAGUGUAAAAAGUGAAUUUCUACUUUGCUCUGAAAUUAGGCAACAUUGAUUGUGUUUUUAUAAUGUCAUUACAAAUUUAAGAUUUCUCGUAACUAUAAGAAUGUACUAGUUUUAUGUGACACAAAUGUGUGCAUUAAGAAAUUUUGGCUGGACAGAACAUGAAAUCAAUCAUAUUAGGAUCAUCCUUUUCCCAGAACAAAAAUGUCAACCAACCAAGUUUAAAAAACCAAUUUGCCAACUCCCUUCCCUUCUACUCUACUUCUUUAAGACAUACUGCAUCU